CACAAUAUUUGGCAUAACUUUUUUUGAAUCAAGAAGCUCGUUUUGAUCAGUUUAGAAAAUUAAAAGGUUUAAAUAGAGAUAAGCGCUAGAAAAAGAAUGAGCUAAAACAAAGUGAAGUUACGUUAUAUUUUUAAACAUAUUAGUUGAGGUUGAGAGUUUAUGUUUCCUUAUUUUAAUUUAAAAGACAUCUUUGUCAGACACUUGUCUCAGAAACCCUUAGCUAUUCAAAGGCGUCUAAAUUUUAUUACGCAUAAUACAGGUCUUUAAACGUCUUUAAAAAACGCUGAGAAGAGAAAUGUUUUUUUUAAAUAUUGUUACUCUGUAGAAGUUACUGGUAUAUCUGUUACUUCAAUAAAGUUUUCAUUUUAUUUAUAAAAUAUUUUAUUUUUUUUUCAAACCUAAUAUUUGUUUAACUUUCUACGUGUAAUACUAAUAUGAAAACAAUUUUAAUUGUUUUUUGAUUUAUACUCGGGUAAAAUAUUCGUUUUCUUAUUUUAAUUUAUAGUUAAACCAUAUAUUUUAUCAUUAUUUUAUUUUAUGGUUUAUUUUCAAGAGAAGGCAGAGACACCAACAAAAAGCUUUGAAGUUAAUGAAGGUGAAGAGGAGGCAGAUAACUAUAAAAAUCUUUGCAGCUAAAGACAGUGAAGAGAAGGCAGAGAAGCCAAUAAAAACCAUUGUAGAUUAAGAUAGUGAAGAGAUAGUAAAUACAAAAAAAAACUACAUAGUUGAUGAUACAGAAGGUAUGUAUUAUUCAUUGGCGCACGAAUGAAAUAAAGAUUUUUAUGUAAACUUAUUUAAAUAUUUAAUUUAAACAUCCCACCUGGUGAAAAAAUAUGUGAAGAGCUUUAAAACAUGUAAUCUUCAAUAAAUGUAAUAGUCGUUAUUUUAUUAGAUAAAAGACUUAAGCUUAAAUUUUGAUAAAAUUAUGCUUAAAUUGCAUUUCAUAAAUAGAUCACGGAAUAAUAAAAUGUAUCCAUAUUAAAAACCCUGUAAAAGUCUUAGGAGGCUGCAAGAUAUACGAUUAUUCGUUACAAGACACUUUAAACGAAUGUCUCAGUGACGAAUUUGUUAAUAUUUAUCUCAAAAUAUUAGUAAACAGUAAAAUAAAAGUAUGAUUAAUUAAUGUACUUCAUAAUAACAUUUUUGUACAAAAAAAACCCUUCUUGCAUUUUUUUUUUAAAUUUGCCUUUAUUUAACUAAAAUUUAAAUUCUAAAUAUAAAACAAUAUAUUGAAUGCCAUUCCAUUUAUUGAUGCUUUGAAGAAUCGAAUCGAAGUACUGUAGCCAGCUGGGCUACUCUCACUGGAUGAAUUGCCAAUUAAAACUGAUUUAAUACGAAGACGGCAUAAGGUAUUCAAAAACUUUUAUCUAAAAAAAUUAAUGAUUCAUUAAUUUAAUUAUAGAGUAUUUAUACACACACACACACACACACACACACACACAUGAUGGAAAAACACACACACACACAUGGUGGAAAAAUUUCAUUGGACGCUUGCAAUAAUCGAACCAGGUAAUAAAACAAUUCACUCUAUGGACCCUAUGGGAGAACAGACAAAUUCCAUCAAAAAAGAAGAAGUGAAAUGGAAUUGUUACUUACAACAAAGAUAUGGUGUUUCAGAAAAGUUUGAAAUAUUAACAUUACCACAUGCCAUACGAGCUGAAGUUUGCUGAAAGUUAUACAAAUGGAGAAGUAUUGGUGCGUGUCUUUCCACAUGAAGAAGUUAAUGCAUACAGAAAGAGAGAUAAAGGAGGUCAGAAGAGUUAGCAGAAUAGUUUGUGUCGCAUUUGUGGAAGUGAAAUUGGUCCAAAAACUAGAAAAAAUCAAAAAAAAAUUAAAUGAGUAAAAUGUGAUAUAUGCAUUUAAAUCGAUGGUACCGUAUGAGAUGCAUUGUUUUUAGAAAUGAAACUUUAUUUUGUUGUGAACAUAUUUAUGUACAAAUUUAUUAAAUAUAUAU
rnacentral:lncRNA from 1 species